rnacentral:rRNA from 1 species
AACGAACGCUGGCGGCGCGCUUAACACAUGCAAGUCGAACGCAUGCUUGAUCUUCGGGUUGGGCAUGAGUGGCGGACGGGUGAGUAACGCGUGGGAACCUGCCCUGAGGUUCGGGACAACCGUGGGAAACUGCGGCUAAUACCGGAUAUCUCCUUUGGGAGAAAGACUUGUCGCCUUGGGAGGGGCCCGCGUCGGAUUAGCUUGUUGGUGGGUAACGGCCUACCAAGGCAUCGAUCCGUAGCUGGUCUGAGAGGAUGAUCAGCCACACUGGGACUGAGACACGGCCCAGACUCCUACGGGAGGCAGCAGUGGGGAAUCUUGGACAAUGGGGGCAACCCUGAUCCAGCGACGCCGCGUGGGUGACGAAGGCCUUCGGUUGUAAAGCCUUUCUCGGGAAGAUGAUGACGGUACCCGAGGAAUAAGCACCGGCUAACUCCGUG